CCUACGGGUGGCAGCAGUGAGGAAUAUUGGUCAAUGGACGAGAGUCUGAACCAGCCAAGUAGCGUGAAGGAUGACUGCCCUAUGGGUUGUAAACUUCUUUUAUAUGGGAAUAAAACGUUCCACGUGUGGGAUUUUGUAUGUACCAUAUGAAUAAGGAUCGGCUAACUCCGUGCCAGCAGCCGCGGUAAUACGGAGGAUCCGAGCGUUAUCCGGAUUUAUUGGGUUUAAAGGGAGCGUAGGUGGAUUGUUAAGUCAGUUGUGAAAGUUUGCGGCUCAACCGUAAAAUUGCAGUUGAAACUGGCAGUCUUGAGUACAGUAGAGGUGUGCGGAAUUCGUGGUGUAGCGGUGAAAUGCUUAGAUAUCACGAAGAACUCCGAUUGCGAAGGCAGUUCACUGGACUGCAACUGACACUGAGGCUCGAAAGUGUGGGUAUCAAACAGGAUUAGAUACCCCUGUAGUC
rnacentral:rRNA from 1 species